UCACUGGUUUCUUCAUUGCCACAUCAAAUCAGAAAGAGUUGUGGCAGUGCCGAUUCUAGUGGC
rfam:Caenorhabditis brenneri strain PB2801 C_brenneri-6.0.1_Cont955.1, whole genome shotgun sequence.